CACCUGGCUGGUGUUGCUCCGGUACAGCGGCUGCAGGCUUCGGCCCACGGCCCCCUCCGGGCUGUUGAUGAGUGCCCUGCCGUCCCGCCAGCCUCCGGAGCUCUCGUCCAGAUACUUGUACUGCAGCCCUCUCUGCGCCGCCUCCCCGGACCCUCUAAGAGCUGGCAGCUUGUAGACCACGAACCUGGAGAUGUCUUUUUAGGCUUUUUGCAUAUCUGACAACUGGAUGACUCCACCCAGACUAGCGACUCUAUGGUCCCCACCCAGAAGCUGACUCAGCAACUGUUUUCCACAGCUCCAGGAUUGCAGCAAGGCACCCAUUCCCUAGCCCUCCUGCCCACCAAACUGUUCUUGAAUAACCCUAGCCUCUGAAUUUUCAGGGAGGCUGAUUCAAGUAAUAAAACUCCCAUCUCCCAUUUAGCUGGAUGUAUGUGGAUUAAACUCUCUCUAUUGCAA
rnacentral:lncRNA from 10 species